rnacentral:rRNA from 1 species
AGAGUUUGAUCCUGGCUCAGAACGAACGCUGGCGGCGCGCCUAAUACAUGCAAGUCGAGCGAGAAGACGUAGCAAUACGUUUGUAAAGCGGCGAACGGGUGAGGAAUACAUGGGUAACCUACCCUCGAGUGGGGAAUAACUAGCCGAAAGGUUAGCUAAUACCGCAUACGGCUCUCGGUCUGCGGAUCGAGAGGGAAAGCGAUACCGUGGGUAUCGCGCUCAUGGAUGGGCUCAUGUCCUAUCAGCUUGUUGGUGAGGUAAUGGCUCACCAAGGCUUCGACGGGUAGCUGGUCUGAGAGGACGAUCAGCCACACUGGCACUGCGACACGGGCCAGACUCCUACGGGAGGCAGCAGUAAGGAAUAUUGCGCAAUGGGCGACAGCCUGACGCAGCGACGCCGCGUGGGGGAUGAAGGUCUUCGGAUUGUAAACCCCUUUCGGCAGGGAAGAUGGAACGGGUAACCGUUCGGACGGUACCUGCAGAAGCAGCCACGGCUAACUUCGUGCCAGCAGCCGCGGUAAUACGAAGGUGGCAAGCGUUGUUCGGAUUUACUGGGCGUACAGGGAGCGUAGGCGGUUGGGUAAGCCCUCCGUGAAAUCUCCGGGCCUAACCCGGAAAGUGCGGAGGGGACUGCUCGGCUAGAGGAUGGGAGAGGAGCGCGGAAUUCCCGGUGUAGCGGUGAAAUGCGUAGAGAUCGGGAGGAAGGCCGGUGGCGAAGGCGGCGCUCUGGAACAUUUCUGACGCUGAGGCUCGAAAGCGUGGGGAGCAGACAGGAUUAGAUACCCUGGUAGUCCACGCCU